rnacentral:pre_miRNA from 1 species
GCUCACAACUUUCCAAAGAAUUCUCCUUUUGGGCUUUUUAUUCUUAAUCUCAGCCCAAAGGUGAAUUUUUUGGGGUGUUUGAGC